UUCAUGUGAGAUCCAACUAUCAUUAAUGGCCAAAGGGUCAUUUGGCAACGGAAACACUUCUAUUCAUUGGAAUCGGAUCAUGUACGCCUUCUAUAUUUCCCGCGAAGUAUGCUGAAUGUGACAUCCAAACGUCUGUGGUACGAUCGGAA